rnacentral:lncRNA from 1 species
AUGCCAUAGAUGCCAUAGCUGGAUCAGCAGUGUCAGACAUAGUAAGGACCAACUCAUCAUCAUUGGUCACUGGACUAGUACGGAUAGCUGUCUCUGUAGAAUUGUUAACCAGCGACGCUGAGGAAUGGUCUGAGGAUGUAGCGCCACCUGCAGGCUCUCCUAAAACUUCCUGACCAAUUUCACCCUCUUCUAACCCCACUUCAUCACCACCAAGAAGGGCCGACGUGGGAGUAGUAGUUUCACCCGCAGGUUCUGAAUUUGCGAGUUUGACUUCAGCAGUAAGACCGUUGUCUUCAUCAGCUGCAACUUGAACCACUGGUACAUAUUUAAGGACCACCUUCUUCAUCAUCUUAUCUUUGGAACGAACAGGUCGAGGUUUGGAUCCGUUUGGAACGGUUUUCCUAGCACUCUCCUGUCCGAAGGAGCCUUCAGAGAUACCAAAUGUGCACUUAUCAGUGGUGUGGCCAAAUCUCCUACAAGCAUCACACUUUACAGGCAACCAAGGAUAUGAAACAUCAAUUUGAACCUCCC